UUUGAGUAAAUCGAUUAAACUCACACUAGGUAAAUUACCUUCACCUCCAGCAAAAACAUUUACUUAAGAGUAGGUAAAUUCAACCCAAGACCCCCCUCAUUCAACCCAAAUUUGAGUAAACCUGCAUUUACCCAAAAUUGGCUUAUUGGGCUCAAGGACCCCCGUUGGGUAGAUGCAUCUCUGUUUGUUUUUGACAACAUCGGUGAGGGAAAGAGGGAAAACAACCUAAUUUUGGGUAACUAGUUUAUUCGAUAUACUCAGCUUUGAGUAAAAUCGACCCAUAAAUUAGGUAGUUUGAUUUCUCCGUAUGCGUCGGCUUCAUGUCGCCCAGGUCACACGAAUUUAGAAGUUUCUCCAUUUUAGCUUGAGCCGACAUUUCGAAGCGGCUAAACAGUCUGUCUUUAAGGUGAAACAUCAAGAAAUCCCUUUGAAAUUUUGCAUACAAACUUUAGAUGCACAAAUCUGACGAAAGAAGCAUCAAAUCAAGCCGCACUUGUUUAUCCUGGCUUUGCUCACUUGCAAAAAGAGGCAGCUUUUCCGAAUCGAGUGCAUUUGUUUACGUAUUUUCAAGAUUGGUGCUCUUGAAAACGCGAGUAGGGGACCAAGUCGGCCAUUGUGGCAGCCAUGUUUGUGUUCUCUGAAGUUUCUCCUUAAUGGCUUGGUAUUUGUUGUCCUGAGGAGGGUUUGCAACCAAAUCCGAGAUGUGGCACAGGACGCUCUGAUCCACCUUUGCGAUGAUGUGGUAGAAUUUGGUUGCAUCGCGGGUAACUCCCCAAGUAACCACGAAGCCGUAUAUAAGUGCACCAAUUUUGCCAUAUAUUGAUAAUUAAAAUUGUGAAUAUAAUGCUGCAUUACUUUAAACACCUCAUUAAAGUAAUAUUAAAGUCGAAAAGGGCCCCACUAAAAUCCAAUUAGUGCCACAUAUUGCAGCACGCUGACAGCCAUUGCUAAAGUAACAUAAAUGCAUGUGCUGUACAUUUGCAUUUGCACAUGCUUGAUACGUGCAACUAGAAAAACCAAAACAAAAAUCUAUUUUUAGCACCGGUUUCGUUAUCGACGGUACUGAUGCCCACGUGAAUGUUUUGACCAUUAUUUUUUUGUCGCCGGGUCGGGAGUCGAACCAGAAGUGUUGAAGACCGCUAGAUGAGUUCCAUACG